rnacentral:rRNA from 1 species
AUUAAGGGGCUUGCUCCUUAAUUUAGUGGCGCACGGGUGAGUAACGCGUAGAUAAUCUGCCCUGGUAUCUAGGAUAACAUCUCGAAAGGGGUGCUAAUACCGGAUAAGCCCACGAUGGCUUUGGUCGUUGCGGGAAAAGGAGGCCUCUGAACAUGCUUCCGUAUCAGGAUGAGUCUUGCUGUACCAUUAGUCUAGAUCUGGUAGUGGUAAUAGAGUCCUACCAUAGGCGAC